rnacentral:rRNA from 1 species
CCUACGGGAGGCAGCAGUGGGGGAUAUUGGACAAUGGGGGGAACCCUGAUCCAGCGACGCCGCGUGAGUGAAGAAGUAUUUCGGUAUGUAAAGCUCUGUCAGCAGGGAAGAAAGCAAUGACGGUACCUGACCAGAAAGCCCGGGCUAACUACGGGCCGGCAGCCGCGGUAAUACGAAGGGGGCAGGCGUUUUCCGGAAUUACUGGGGGUAAGGGGAGCUUGGACGGCUGUGCAAGUCUGGAGUGAAAGGCGGGGGCCCAACCCCCGGACUGCUCUGGAAACUGUAUGGCUGGAGUGCAGGAGAGGUAAGCGGAAUUCCUAGUGUAGCGGUGAAAUGCGUAGAUAUUAGGAGGAACACCAGUGGCGAAGGCGGCUUACUGGACUGUAACUGACGUUGAGGCUCGAAAGCGUGGGGAGCAAACAGGAUUAGAUACCCUAGUAGUC